UACGUAGGUGGCAAGCGUUAUCCGGAUUUACUGGGUGUAAAGGGCGUGUAGGCGGGAGAGCAAGUCAGACGUGAAAUUCCAGGGCUCAACCCUGGAACUGCAUUUGAAACUGUCAGUCUUGAGUACCGGAGAGGUCAUCGGAAUUCCUUGUGUAGCGGUGAAAUGCGUAGAUAUAAGGAAGAACACCAGUGGCGAAGGCGGAUGACUGGACGGCAACUGACGGUGAGGCGCGAAAGCGUGGGGAGCAAACAGG
rnacentral:rRNA from 1 species